rnacentral:rRNA from 1 species
AUUGAACGCUGGCGGCAUGCCUUACACAUGCAAGUCGAACGGCAGCACGGGAGCAAUCCUGGUGGCGAGUGGCGAACGGGUGAGUAAUAUAUCGGAACGUGCCCAGUCGUGGGGGAUAACGUAGCGAAAGCUACGCUAAUACCGCAUACGAUCUAUGGAUGAAAGCGGGGGAUCGCAAGACCUCGCGCGAUUGGAGCGGCCGAUAUCAGAUUAGGUAGUUGGUGAGGUAAAGGCUCACCAAGCCGACGAUCUGUAGCUGGUCUGAGAGGACGACCAGCCACACUGGGACUGAGACACGGCCCAGACUCCUACGGGAGGCAGCAGUGGGGAAUUUUGGACAAUGGGCGCAAGCCUGAUCCAGCAAUGCCGCGUGCAGGAUGGAAGGCCCGUUCGGUUGGUU